CAUCUUUAGUAUAAAUGCAAGAAAGGAGGAAAUAAUUUGGGAGUAAAAGCUUCUAUGACCUUUUCACGUGAGGAUUUUCUUGAUAAGCCACAGCAGACAAAUCUAGCAUUGUGAGAUUGGGCAGAUAAGACAGCAAAUCCUUGCUAAUCCUAGGUAUUGCUGUCUCACUAAGUCCUAAAACAACAAACAACAAACAACAAAACCUCUAUGAGGCAACACCCAAAGCCACUGUCAGAUGUCAUGGAGAUGAGACCUCACAAGCCCAAAAAGAAAACUUCCAUCUGUUCUAGCAUCUGCUUACUGUGGUUCAAGAAUUUCUUCAAUUUAACAAGUAGGUGUGUCAAUUGUGACAUCUGGGAAUGUUUAUAAAGACACAUACACAAAAAGGAAAGGUGAGGAGCCAAGAUGUCCCACUAGAUGCAGCCAAGGAGAGCUUCUCCAAUGGAAAGAGACCAGACCAUCAAGUAGACUGGCAUAUUCUGAAAAGAUCUCUGGAAAGAAGGCAUAGAGACUGGACAGAGGGAAGUUUCAAGCCCUGGGCUGAAAGAGGAGGAAUUUGGGAACCCUGCAUGGGAUUGCCUAGCACAAAGACUUGUUCCUGGCUCUAAGGUGAAGGGUAGAUCAACAGUUACUAUGGAAACAUAUCACUGUUUUGGGUGUGCCUACUCAACGUGAAGAUGAUGAGAAUGAAGACCUUUAUGAUGAUCUGCUUCCACUUAAAGAAUAGUAGGUAUUUGGCUGACUCCUGGACUAUGCAAGCACAAGAAGAGAUUUCAGAAGGUUUGGAAGAGAGUCUCUUCUGAGAGGCUGAGGGCUAAGAAGACUGCCCUGUGCAGGAAAGAUGUUGGAGUGCAAGCCCAUCUGGAAUGGAGAGACCUCGAUGAAACACAUAGGCAAUUAAUUAGAUCCCAGAAAGGCCACACUGUGCAAAACCCUGAGGUAUCAUGAAGAAAUCCAUAUGCCCUGAAGUUACCAUCCUAGAGACAUCAUUUGGAGAGACUACAGUGCACAGAAGUAGAGAGGCCCAGCUGUGCCUGUCCCCAACUGAUGGAGUCUUCUCAGUGUCAGUCACCAGACAUCCCAUCUUACCACCAGUGGACAAUUCAGUGAUGCAAACUCCAUGAAGGAUAAAGUUCAUGCAGUUCAACUAUGUAGGUUUUUGUUAGUCCAGUUCUUUGAUCCAAGGAAGAAUUUAGAGCAACUUGAAAGAUGGUUGGAAUAUGCAAUUAUGUUAUUUAACACAACAGUUUAAUUGGCUUUCUGAUGACAGCUGGUGGAAGAAACUGUGAGCCCAUCAUCUGAGGCCCAUCAUGAUCUGAAGGCAGCGGUGGU
ensembl:lncRNA LINC01934 long intergenic non-protein coding RNA 1934